rnacentral:tRNA from 1 species
GGAUGGGUACAGUUCAGCGGCAGAGCGUGUGCUUAGCGUGCACGAGGUCCUGGGUUCAAGCCCCAGCGCCUCCG